rnacentral:rRNA from 1 species
UACGAAGGGGGCUAGCGUUGCUCGGAAUCACUGGGCGUAAAGCGCACGUAGGCGGACUCUUAAGUCAGGGGUGAAAUCCUGGAGCUCAACUCCAGAACUGCCCUUGAUACUGGGAGCCUUGAGUUCGGGAGAGGUGAGUGGAACUGCGAGUGUAGAGGUGAAAUUCGUAGAUAUUCGCAAGAACACCAGUGGCGAAGGCGGCUCACUGGCCCGGUACUGACGCUGAGGAGCGAAAGCGUGGGGAGCGAACAGG